AUGGGUCACGCAGGAGCACAUUCCGUGAACACCACGUCCCCUCUGUGCUGGAGUAUUUAUGGUUCAGAGGUGGUCUAAAGUCAUAAUAAGAAGUGACUUGUCCUGUGCUUUUUUAAAUUAAUGAAUCGGAAUGAAUUGAUCAUUUAUCAGGUUUUUACGGACAUUUUCUGCCCUUCGUUUUAACGAGACAGUUCUUUUAUAUGAACAGCCCAUCCACCUGCAGCACUUCUCCUGCUGAGCUUUGAACCACUUCAACGUGACCCUUUCAGAGGAACCGCACAGUUCAGGGUCGUCUGCACAGGUUCCACCAGGAGGGAUUUGAACCCGUAACCUUUCGCAAGGUCAUUUUCCUUCCAUCUUUCACACUCCGUGUGAUGAGGACGACACACAGAGAGAGGGAGCCGUGUGCUGUGUGCCGUGUGCCGCUCCUGUCCGCCGACGACUCAUGUGGAACGGUUGUCUCCGAACCCCCAGACAGCUCUCCCCGCUCCCCAACACAGCACCUCCUGGCUCCUCACAGCGAGCUGCCAGUGAGCACAGCCCUCAACCAUAGGAAGAACUCCUUUCUGAAGCAGGUCUUGGUCUACGGUCCAGCAGAGCAGCUUGCCGCAUGAACCCUAAUCAAGAGAGACACGCCCACAUGCGCGUGAACCGGGGUCGCUCUGGGGGCCCUGUCUAAUUUUAAUAAAACUGUUACAAACAAC
rnacentral:lncRNA from 1 species